rnacentral:rRNA from 1 species
CAGCAGCCGCGGUAAUACGGAGGGGGCUAGCGUUGUUCGGAAUUACUGGGCGUAAAGCGCACGUAGGCGGCUUGGUAAGUUAGAGGUGAAAGCCUGGAGCUCAACUCCAGAAUUGCCUUUAAGACUGCCGAGCUAGCAGGUGAGAGAGGUAAGUGGAAUUCCGAGUGUAGAGGUGAAAUUCGUAGAUAUUCGGAAGAACACCAGUGGCGAAGGCGGCUUACUGGCUCAUACUGGACGCUGAGGUGCGAAAGCGUAGGGAGCAAACAGGAUUAGAUACCCCUGUAGUCCCUGUCUCUUAUAC